CUAUUGUUACUAACAAUCAAUAAAAUUGUAUUUCAUCUCUUUUCCGAAACAACAUCCUCCAAAGUCUCAGCACAAUUGAGUCGAGGAGACACCCCAAGAUUGAUUGGGACCUCCAGAAAGAAAAAGUCUCAAUAUAAUUGAGUUGAGGAGACAUCUUUGGAUUGACCGGGACCUUUGGAAAGAAAAAAGUUUUAGUAUUACUGAACCGAGGAGACUCUAGGAUUGAGUGGGAUCUCUGGAAAAAAAAUCUAAGCAUGACUAAGCUGAGGAGACAUCCUAGGAUUGAUUGGGACCUCCAAAAUGAAAAAUUCUAGCGCUAGGCUUGGAUGAGAGGAAGUAUACUCGGCUUGAUCAUCUGGGUAUUAGCUAUCCUGAAGAACCCAACCGAUCCAAGGCUCGAUAGCCUUUGAGGAUUGACGACUUCGGUCUCGACCUUGGACAAGUACAAUGGAACAUAGUUCAAUGGCCUCUGAAGAUUGACAACUUUAGUCUUGACUUCGGACUAGUACAAUAAAGCAAGGAUUGAUAGCUCCCGAGGACUAAAGUCUAUCAAACCAGCCUUUGAUAGGUACUAUAUAUAUUAUUCUCAAGGCUUGAAGACCCAUGCAAUAAUACUCAAUCUCUAUUCGUCGAUGUGACGAUCUCAAGUACUUCAAGCCCGUUUAGGCACUAUGGCUUUAUUCUGGUUAGUUUUAUAGAAUUCAGGUUUCACCUCAAUUCUUCUCUACGGAAUCAUGGCUUUCUAUGGAAUAUCUCGGUCACUUCUAUGGUAUUUUGAUAAUGGCUUUAUCUUAUCUCAACCAACCACCUUGGAUACUCUAGUCUUAUUUUAGCACGUUUGGGCCUUUUGUAUUCAUUUGAUCUUGUUUCUAAGAGCAUGUGGCUCUAUCUCGAUAUGCCUCCAAGGAUGUUGUGAUCUUACCUCAAUUUACUUCUAAGGGCUCUCUGAAUUAAUUUGGCCGAUCUCAAGCACUUAGAACUAUCUCUAAAGUGAUUACGAUUUUGUUUCGACUUUCUUCUCAUCGUUCAGUUUUACUUAGUUGACCUUAUAUACUUAAGAGUACUCUAGCUUAACUCGGCGGACCUCAAUGUUUGACCUUAGUAUCCAACCUCAUCGUCUAUGAGACGACUUCACACUCUCAAAAUAAGAAAUCAAACAUUCAGACAAAAGAAGAGGUCCACACAAAAAUGAUUCUAUUUCAUUAAUAUUUAUAACAUGCGAUUAAAAAGUAGGUCAAGGACCAGACGACACUUCAUUACAAAUGAAGAACGUCGGGACUGGUUGGGCUCCAGUUCUACAAGAUUGGUAACCCCAGUAGGGCCACUCGGCUUAGGAAGCCACCCUUCACCUCGUGCUACGCCUUCGGUGGUGUCAAGAAGCGCAAGAAGACCUAUAUAGAAGUCUACUCCUUU
rnacentral:lncRNA from 1 species